rnacentral:lncRNA from 1 species
AUGACCACUGAACAUGUCCCCAGAUGUUGCCAGAUGUCUCCUGGAGGGUGAAAUCUUCCCCUGGCUAAGAGAGACUGGCUUUUCAUAUUUACUGUUGGCAAAUAAUGUUUUUUGGGUUGUUUUUGAGAAGUGGCAGCCAAAACCAUGUGUGACAGACAAAAGCACACCUGGGCCUCAGCUUGCAACCUUUAAGUCAGCAGUCUCUCACAAUCACCAAGGUGAGAAAUGGUCUU